CCCGCACAAGCGGCGGAGCAUGCGGAUUAAUUCGAUGCAACGCGAAGAACCUUACCAAGGCUUGACAUACACCGGUAACGCCCAGAGAUGGGUGCCCCUUUGUGGUCGGUGUACAGGUGGUGCAUGGUUGUCGUCAGCUCGUGUCGUGAGAUGUUGGGUUAAGUCCCGCAACGAGCGCAACCCUCGUCCUAUGUUGCCAGCGGGUCAUGCCGGGGACUCAUGGGAGACUGCCGGGGUCAACUCGGAGGAAGGUGGGAUGACGUCAAAUCAUCAUGCCCCUUAUGUCUUGGGCUUCACGCAUGCUACAAUGGCCGGUACAAAGGGCUGCGAUACCGCGAGGUGGAGCGAAUCCCAGAAAGCCGGUCUCAGUUCGGAUUGGGGUCUGCAACUCGACCCCAUGAAGUCGGAGUCGCUAGUAAUCGCAGAUCAGCAACGCUGCGGUGAAUACGUUCCCGGGCCUU
rnacentral:rRNA from 1 species